rnacentral:misc_RNA from 1 species
AAGGUUCCAACCCGCCUUUGGGGGUUAUGUUUGGUCAAUUUUUUUUGACCGGGGUUUACGGACCCC